rnacentral:rRNA from 1 species
CCCUUCGGAACGGGAUAGUGUCUGGAAACGGACAGUAAUACCGUAUAACGUAUUUUUACCGCAUGAUAGAAAUACCAAAACUGAGGUGCCGAAGGAUGGGCUCGCGUCUGAUUAGAUAGUUGGUGGGGUAACGGCCUAUCAAGUCGACGAUCAGUAGCCGGACUGAGAGGUUGAACGGCCACAUUGGGACUGAGACACGGCCCAGACUCCUACGGGAGGCAGCAGUGGGGAAUAUUGCACAAUGGGGGAAACCCUGAUGCAGCAACGCCGCGUAAAGGAAGACGGUUUUCGGAUUGUAAAUUUCUGUUCUUAGUGAAGAAUAAUGACGGUAGCUAAGGAGCAAGCCACGGCUAAGUACGUGCCGGCAGCCGCGGUAAUACGUAGGUGGCAAGCGUUGUCCGGAAUUACUGGGUGUAAAGGGAGCGUAGGCGGGAUGCCAAGUCAGCUGUGAAAACUAUGGGUUUAACCUGUAGACUGCAGUUGAAACUGGUAUUCUUGAGUGAAGUAGAGGUUGGCGGAAUUCCGAGUGUAGCGGUGAAAUGCGUAGAUAUU